GCGACUAGGACAUGGAUUUUUCUUUGAAUUAUCAAAAUUAACUUUCAAGUUCAAGUUCAAGUUCAAAAGUCAGGUGUGGGAUUUAUUUCAGUACAUGCCGUGGUUAAUUGUUGUCCAUUUUAAUAUUAUGUGUUUGCCAUAUGUGUUGUAAAUUCAGUUAUAUCGCUAGGGGCCCGCUCAAUGGGUCCAGGACUUCACCGUCCUUGGUAUGCCACAAUGCGAUUUCAUGUUAAAGUUAUGGUUGCAACCAGUCGCCAGGGGCCGGCUCAAUCGGUCCAGGACGGAAAGGUCCUUGGUAUGCCACCGUGCGACUUUCAGUCACGAAUGUAUUGAUCAUAUGUGAUUCUCAUUUUAUUAACGUGGACAAUGAUUGCAUGUUCCCACACUGAGUGUACUCUGUAUGCUCAUCCCAUACUUAACAUUUUCAGGUUUUAAAGACCGGAGGCGCGUGGAAGGUCGAAUGGCAAUGGGCCGGAUCUGGAUCAGAUCCUGCUUGGUCCAGAUCUAGAUCCAUGAUUUUUUACUUAGAUCCAGAUCCGGUCCAGAUCCAUUGGAUACCAAAAAAUGGAUCCAGGUCCAGAUCCAUAAGAUCCACAGGGUCUCGGGUCCAGACCCGGAUCC
rnacentral:lncRNA from 1 species